rnacentral:tRNA from 1 species
GCAUAAUCUGGUAUUGCGCUAGCCUGGAAAGCUAGUUUCCGAAAGGAUAUCUGGGUUCAAAUCCCAG